rnacentral:rRNA from 1 species
UGAGGAAUAUUGGUCAAUGGGCGUAAGCCUGAACCAGCCAAGUCGCGUGAGGGAAGACGGUCCUACGGAUUGUAAACCUCUUUUGCCGGGGAGCAACGGGGUCCUUGCGAGGGCCUUAUGAGAGUACCCGGAGAAAAAGCAUCGGCUAACUCCGUGCCAGCAGCCGCGGUAAUACGGAGGAUGCGAGCGUUAUCCGGAUUUAUUGGGUUUAAAGGGUGCGUAGGCGGGCUGUUAAGUCAGCGGUCAAAUGUCGGGGCUCAACCCCGGCCUGCCGUUGAAACUGGCGGCCUCGAGUGGGCGAGAAGUAUGCGGAAUGCGUGGUGUAGCGGUGAAAUGCAUAGAUAUCACGCAGAACUCCGAUUGCGAAGGCAGCAUACCGGCGCCCGACUGACGCUGAGGCACGAAAGCGUGGGUAUCGAACA